CCUACGGGAGGCAACGGGGCAAACCCAUCCUGGCUUGGGGUGGUGAUGGCGGGUGGAACGAAUACCUUCUCCAUCACCAACGGGACGGCCUCGCUUGACGUAGCGGCAGGCGCUACCCUUAACAUCGACAAGUCCUUGCAGGUCGCUACGGGGGCCGUCGUGAUUAACGGCAACGCGGGCGGUUCCAGCGUCCUUACCCUUCCCAACCAGACCCUUUCGCUUACCGGCACCUUCACGGACAGGAAAUACUGCCCCUACACAGCUUCCGGUACUGUCAUUAGUUGUAAUGCUGACGGAGGUGCCGCAGGGUCUAUUGCAACCGAUACCCUGUGGGAUGCAAAGGGUGAUUUGGCCGUAGGCACGGGAGCUAACACGGGCGGAAGGCUUGCCAUCGGGACAGACAAGCAGGUACUCGUUGUGUCCACGGAUACCCUUGUAGUC
rnacentral:rRNA from 1 species